AAUAGGCACACCCAUGAUGACCCCACCUUUCCCAAAUGUCUGCACCCUGCGCUGCCUCAAAAAAGAUCAAAAAAAUGGUUUAAGCCAGGCUCCAAAGCUCUCUGCAAGGUGGAGAAGCUACUUCUUAGCAAAAGGGUCCUGACAGAUGUGCAGAAGCUCAGCUCCGACUACCAAACGUCUACAUUGGAGGCAUUCCAUAGUGUGCUAUUAAGAUUCACACCGAAGAAUGUGGUCUUCCCAUUUAUUGGGAUGUUGUGCAGACUGUACCUGGCAGCACUGCACUUUAAUGAGAAUGCUCGUCGCUGCCAAGCUAAAACAUCAUCUGGCCGCCUGAAAUUUAAAAUGAGUUUCCCCAAGGCAA